rnacentral:lncRNA from 1 species
CUGGUGGUAUGUGAGAGAAUCGUGGAGUGAGUGGGUGGGUGAUCAUCGUGGGAUUUAACAACAAAUCCUUGAAAUUUUCUCCUAUUUGAACGCUUCAAAUGA